GUGUUUUUUUCAAAAGCAAAGGAUGAAAAGAAGGUCACAUAAGAUGGACUCAUCCAAAGGAUACAACCCUGACAAUAUGGAUCUGCUGACAUUAUUCAUAGUCAACCAGAUUGCAUCAAAGAAAGAGCAAACAGACAAACCAAAAACAAACCGUUUGACUGGUGUGAAAAGAACCAAAAAAAACUUUGAAAGAACCCUUAGAGAUACCAAUGAGCCCUUGCGCUCUUUCAAACCUGAACCUAGUUACCAGUCAGCCACAGUACAGUAUUGAAACGCCUGGUUAUAAAGUCAGAAAACAUUGUCUUUCUGAAGAAUUCAUGUUCAAGCCACUGUCUCCUGUGCUUGAAUCAAACCUGUCUGAUGUCAGUGGCUCAGAAAAUCAACCGCAACCAUCCUCAACAUCUGCUGGCUCCUCAGAUCCAAUCCAACCCAAACCCAC